AGUGAGGCCUUCGGACUGGCCCAGACAGGUCGGCAACGACCAGUCAGGGCCGGAAAGUUGGUCAAACUUGGUCAUUUAGAGGAAGUAAAAGUCGUAACAAGGUUUCCGUCACCGGAGCCCCGGGAGAUCCUUCCCAGGCGCCUAUCGAAGCCUUUGCAGCCCCGCAGGGGGUGUGCCCCCGCGACUGGAAACAAUGGGGGCCGUUGCAAGUCAGCGUCCGCUGGCGACACUUUCGAAUUGCGGGGACACCCUGAAGCAAGGUGCUACCAACCCGUCGGGGAAACCCGGUGGGGGCUCAUGCCAGCAGCAUGGGGGACGGUAAUAACGCACCUUGAUAUGCCCUCGGGCAACAUGGGCAAUCCGCAGCCAAGUCCCGCCCGGCCCGUGGCCGUGGGAAAGGUUCACAGACUAAGUGGAAGUGGGCGGAGAGGUCAUCUCCGUCUAAGAUAUAGUCGGUCCCCCGGGGAGACUCGGGGGGAGUCCAGUGGACGUGACCGUCCCUGGCCGCCCAACGUUCCGUAGGUGAACCUGCGGAAGGAUCAUU
rnacentral:rRNA from 1 species